rnacentral:rRNA from 1 species
CGGACGAGAAGCUUGCUUCUCUGAUGUUAGCGGCGGACGGGUGAGUAACACGUGGAUAACCUACCUAUAAGACUGGGAUAACUUCGGGAAACCGGAGCUAAUACCGGAUAAUAUUUUGAACCGCAUGGUUCAAAAGUGAAAGACGGUCUUGCUGUCACUUAUAGAUGGAUCCGCGCUGCAUUAGCUAGUUGGUAAGGUAACGGCUUACCAAGGCAACGAUGCAUAGCCGACCUGAGAGGGUGAUCGGCCACACUGGAACUGAGACACGGUCCAGACUCCUACGGGAGGCAGCAGUAGGGAAUCUUCCGCAAUGGGCGAAAGCCUGACGGAGCAACGCCGCGUGAGUGAUGAAGGUCUUCGGAUCGUAAAACUCUGUUAUUAGGGAAGAACAUAUGUGUAAGUAACUGUGCACAUCUUGACGGUACCUAAUCAGAAAGCCACGGCUAACUACGUGCCAGCAGCCGCGGUAAUACGUAGGUGGCAAGCGUUAUCCGGAAUUAUUGGGCGUAAAGCGCGCGUAGGCGGUUUUUUAAGUCUGAUGUGAAAGCCCACGGCUCAACCGUGGAGGGUCAUUGGAAACUGGAAAACUUGAGUGCAGAAGAGGAAAGUGGAAUUCCAUGUGUAGCGGUGAAAUGCGCAGAGAUAUGGAGGAACACCAGUGGCGAAGGCGACUUUCUGGUCUGUAACUGACGCUGAUGUGCGAAAGCGUGGGGAUCAAACAGGAU